rnacentral:rRNA from 1 species
CGGGGUGCACCAGGCGCGAAAACUCUACAAUGCAGGCAACUGCGAUAGGGGAACAUCGAGUGAUACUCAUCUUGGGUGUCUGUCCUCCCGUCUAAAAAACGGGAGUUAGCAAGGGCCGGGCAAGACCGGUGCCAGCCGCCGCGGUAAUACCGGCGGCUCGAGUGGUGGCCGAUAUUAUUGAGUCUAAAGGGUCCGUAGCCGGCUUUGCAAGUCUUUUGGGAAAUCCAGCGGCUUAACCGUUGGUCGUCCGGGAGAUACUACAUUGCUUGGGACUGGGAGAGGUAGGAGGUACUCAGGGGGUAGGAGUGAAAUCCUGUAAUCCUUUGGGGACCACCGGUGGCGAAGGCGUCCUACCAGAACAGGUCCGACGGUGAGGGACGAAAGCUAGGGGCACGAACCGGAUUAGAUACCCGGGUAGUCCUAGCCGUAAACGAUGCUCGCUAGGUGUCACAACAAUCGUGAAUUGUUGUGGUGCCGUAGGGAAGCCGUGAAGCGAGCCACUUGGGAAGUACGACCGCAAGGUUGAAACUUAAAGGAAUUGGCGGGGGAGCAC